rnacentral:rRNA from 1 species
AUUGAACGCUGGCGGCAGGCCUAACACAUGCAAGUCAAGCGGUAACACAGAGGAGCUUGCUCCUUGGGUGACGAGCGGCGGACGGGUGAGUAAUGCCUGGGGAUCUGCCCGAUAGAGGGGGAUAACUACGGGAAACUGUAGCUAAUACCGCAUAAUGUCUACGGACCAAAGUGGGGGCUCUUCGGACCUCAUGCUAUCGGAUGAACCCAGGUGGGAUUAGCUAGUUGGUGAGGUAAUGGCUCACCAAGGCGACGAUCUCUAACUGGUUUGAGAGGAUGACCAGUCACACUGGAACUGAGACACGGUCCAGACUCCUACGGGAGGCAGCAGUGGGGAAUAUUGCACAAUGGGCGCAAGCCUGAUGCAGCCAUGCCGCGUGUGUGAAGAAGGCCUUCGGGUUGUAAAGCACUUUCAGCGGGGAGGAAGGGUCACUAGUUAAUACCUAGUGGCAUUGACGUUACUCGCAGAAGAAGCACCGGCUAACUCCGUGCCAGCCGCCGCAGUAAUAC